rnacentral:rRNA from 1 species
UACGGAGGGUGCAAGCGUUGUUCGGAAUUACUGGGCGUAAAGAGCGUGUAGGCGGCUAUGUAAGUCAUAUGUGAAAGCCCUCGGCUCAACUGGGGAAGUGCAUGUGAUACUGCUUAGCUUGAGUCCCGGAGAGGAGUGUGGAAUUCCCGGUGUAGAGGUGAAAUUCGUAGAUAUCGGGAGGAACACCAGUGGCGAAGGCGACACUCUGGACGGUGACUGACGCUGAGACGCGAAAGCGUGGGUAGCAAACAGGAUUAGAUACCCCGGUAGUCCACGCCGUAAACGGUGUCCACUAGGUGAUGUGGGUAUUGACCCCCGCAGUGCCGCAGCUAACGCAUUAAGUGGACCGCCUGGGGAGUACGGCCGCAAGGUUAAA